AGUGGCCAGAGGGAUGUGCCAUGCUCUGCUCCCCGGGGUCUAGACCUCUACUGGGAGCCCAGUCUGGGGCCAUAACCGGUGCCAUUCUGCUGGUAGGAGAGUGCAGAGUGCCCAGCUGGGGCCGAGCCCCCCUCGCCUGCUGACCGAAGAGGAGUACCGCAUCCAAGGCGAAGUGGAGACCCGCAAGGCCCUCGAGGAGCUUCGAAACUACUGCAGGAGCCCGGAUUUCUCCGCUUGGACUGCAGUCUCCCGCAUCCAAUCUCCCAAAAGGUUUGCUGAGUUUGUGGGCGGUGCCUCCCACCUCACCGCCAGCGAGGUGUCCUUCCACGAGCAGGAGUACGGCUUGGGCGGCGUGUUCCUCGAGGACCAGCUCUUUGAGGAGGACGAGGAGGAAGACUGACUGUUGACAGAGACUGCACGAGUUGCUCGUGGUCCCACAACCCACCCAACUGCUGGUUGAGGUCAGCUGCCCCACACCCACGAGGGCGAGCUGCUUCCCUGCUGCCUGCAGUGCCCAAAGCCCUUUUUAAAGGGGUGAGUUGGUGUUGCUGCGCCCGGCACCUCCAAUUCCACCUCAAGCUGGGCUGCCACGAACCUGGCUCUGCUGCAGAGCUGCUAGGAGGACGAAAGGAGCUGACCCUCGUUUUUCUGGGUAGCUCCUGCCCGGCUGAGGCACAAAAGCUUUUUAUGAGUGCAGCUCUCUUUGGCAGAAGGGUGCAGGGAGCUGGCCCUGGUGGGGACACUGAGAUCUGCGCUGUGAUGUGAUGUGGCACACUGGUCUAGACUGCAGCCAUCCUGCCUCUUGGUGCAUUUGCUCGUGCUGCACACGUCGUAAGGGCUUCCUGAGCCCUGUGCUCCUGCACUGCUGCCGUGGGGGGGAUUGAGGGGGGGCAGGAUGAGCCCCUCUGCCUUGCUCUGGGUGCCCACACCCUCGCUCUGCCAGGGCGUCUCUGCCUUGCAGGGUGUGGAUGGAGCAAAAGGUCCCUGUCGCGUGCGUGUCCCCACGGGGGAUGACACGUUCCUAAGGGGAACUUUGAACCUCUCCUGCCGCUACCUGCGUGCUCAGCACCUGCUCGCUGCCGGGCUGCUCCUCCUCGUGCUGCUGCUCACCAAAGCUGCCCCAGGGCUCCGGCCGCUCGAGCUGCGACUCUGCCUUGUUUUAAUUGCGUACCAAAAAAACCCCUGUGCUUCCUGGGUGGGGAUGCAGCUCUGAGGGUCCCUCUGGCUUGUUGCAGAGCUCGAGGGAAGCCUGGGCAGGCCCCCAUAAGUGCCUGUGGUUACAGAUCCCUCUCCCAUUGUGGGGGAGCUGCUGCUGCUCUCUGCUUUCAGCCCUCAGUCCCCACCAUGCAGGGG